AGAUUGAACGCUAGCGGGAUGCUUUACACAUGCAAGUCGAACGGCAGCGCGGACUUCGGUCUGGCGGCGAGUGGCGAACGGGUGAGUAAUAUAUCGGAACGUGCCCAGUAGCGGGGGAUAACUACGCGAAAGCGUGGCUAAUACCGCAUACGCCCUACGGGGGAAAGGGGGGGAUUCUUCGGAACCUCUCACCAUUGGAGCGGCCGAUAUCAGAUUAGCUAGUUGGUGAGGUAAAGGCUCACCAAGGCGACGAUCUGUAGCUGGUUUGAGAGGACGACCAGCCACACUGGGACUGAGACACGGCCCAGACUCCUACGGGAGGCAGCAGUGGGGAAUUUGGACAAUGGGGGAAACCUGAUCCAGCCAUCCCGCGUGUGCGAUGAAGGCCGUUCGGGUUGUAAAGCUACGUUUGGCGUAGGGAAGAAACGGCGUAGACCCGUAAGUACGGACGUCGACGUGACGGUACCUGCAAGAAUAAGACACCGGCUAACCGUACGUCGCCAGCCGACGCCGGACGGUAAGUCUAGA
rnacentral:rRNA from 1 species